CAUGCACUUCCCAUGUCAGUUCACUAAAUGACUUCUGUGUACAGAGCUGAAGAUUGCCAGGAUACAUCAUGACAUCAUAUCUCGAGAGCCAACACUCUCUGCAGACAAACAGUGCAGGCAGCAGGCUAGGGGCAGGCUUUGGCAGCUCUAGUAAGAGCUUGAAUGGGUGCCACUGUGUGUGCGACUAUGUGUUUAUCAGACUGUAUCUGUGUGUAUGGGUCACUGUUGUGUCAAUGUUUGUAUGGACCCUUGUGUGUUUUAAAUUGUG